ACAUUUGCGAAGUCAAUUCGCUAGAACAACAAAUCGAGCUAUUCGAACAGCUCAUAUUUUAUAUGAGAGUUUGAUCCUGGCUCACGAUGAACGCUGUCGCUCGGACUAAUAAAAGUUUGCCGAACGAGUUCUGAUUAUUGAAAGGUGCUUGCAUCUUGAUUUAAUUUUGAACGAGUGGCGGACGGGUGAGUAACACGUGGGUAACCUGCCCUUAAGUGGGGGAUAACAUUUGGAAACAGAUGCUAAUACCGCAUAAAUCCAAGAACCGCAUGGUUCUUGGCUGAAAGAUGGCGUAAGCUAUCGCUUUUGGAUGGACCCGCGGCGUAUUAGCUAGUUGGUGAGGUAACGGCUCACCAAGGCAAUGAUACGUAGCCGAACUGAGAGGUUGAUCGGCCACAUUGGGACUGAGACACGGCCCAAACUCCUACGGGAGGCAGCAGUAGGGAAUCUUCCACAAUGGACGCAAGUCUGAUGGAGCAACGCCGCGUGAGUGAAGAAGGCUUUCGGGUCGUAAAACUCUGUUGUUGGAGAAGAAUGGUCGGCAGAGUAACUGUUGUCGGCGUGACGGUAUCCAACCAGAAAGCCACGGCUAACUACGUGCCAGCAGCCGCGGUAAUACGUAGGUGGCAAGCGUUAUCCGGAUUUAUUGGGCGUAAAGCGAGCGCAGGCGGUUUUUUAAGUCUGAUGUGAAAGCCCUCGGCUUAACCGAGGAAGUGCAUCGGAAACUGGGAAACUUGAGUGCAGAAGAGGACAGUGGAACUCCAUGUGUAGCGGUUGAUGAAUUGAUAGACAUUUUUGGCGAAGGCGGCUGUCUGGUCUGUAACUGACGCUGAGGCUCGAAAGCAUGGGUAGCGAACAGGAUUAGAUACCCUGGUAGUCCAUGCCGUAAACGAUGAAUGCUAGGUGUUGGAGGGUUUCCGCCCUUCAGUGCCGCAGCUAACGCAUUAAGCAUUCCGCCUGGGGAGUACGACCGCAAGGUUGAAACUCAAAGGAAUUGACGGGGGCCCGCACAAGCGGUGGAGCAUGUGGUUUAAUUCGAAGCAACGCGAAGAACCUUACCAGGUCUUGACAUCUUUUGAUCACCUGAGAGAUCAGGUUUCCCCUUCGGGGGCAAAAUGACAGGUGGUGCAUGGUUGUCGUCAGCUCGUGUCGUGAGAUGUUGGGUUAAGUCCCGCAACGAGCGCAACCCUUAUGACUAGUUGCCAGCAUUUAGUUGGGCACUCUAGUAAGACUGCCGGUGACAAACCGGAGGAAGGUGGGGAUGACGUCAAAUCAUCAUGCCCCUUAUGACCUGGGCUACACACGUGCUACAAUGGAUGGUACAACGAGUUGCGAGACCGCGAGGUCAAGCUAAUCUCUUAAAGCCAUUCUCAGUUCGGACUGUAGGCUGCAACUCGCCUACACGAAGUCGGAAUCGCUAGUAAUCGCGGAUCAGCACGCCGCGGUGAAUACGUUCCCGGGCCUUGUACACACCGCCCGUCACACCAUGAGAGUUUGUAACACCCGAAGCCGGUGGCGUAACCCUUUUAGGGAGCGAGCCGUCUAAGGUGGGACAAAUGAUUAGGGUGAAGUCGUAACAAGGUAGCCGUAGGAAAACCUGCGGCUGGAUCACCUCCUUUCUAAGGAAACAGACUGAAAGUCUGACGGAAACCUGACCACCAGAAACUUUGUUAUUUUUGAAAUAGUAACCCUC
rnacentral:rRNA from 2 species